GCUCCACGUGUCGCCUUACGUUGCCAGUCAUCAAGCCUCCUUUGCGUCAUUUUAAACGCCCUGCUUACGCAUCUAGCUCCUAUGCACCUUCAGUCUCAAAGAAAACUGAUGAGCAUCCUGCAAGGUACAAGAUGCUGGAUCAGAGGAUCAAAAUGAAAAAGAUUCAGAACAUCUCACAUAACUGGAACAGAAAAUAGGCCGAGGGGAAGAAGAGAGGGAGUGAAGGAGGGUCUACCUAUCUGCUUCUCAGCACCCACUGGCCACAGCAGGACACACCUCCAAGACCCUUGGAGGCUGUUGGAGCAGGUACUAUCCUGGUUGACUCCACCAAGGUGAAAUGAAAGUUGUAUGUGAUUUUCCUCUUUGUUGUUCUUGUAUAGACUUUUCAAUUGCUGUAUGUGGGAUCAGCCCAGACGCCAGCAACAAACUAGCAAGAGGGGUGUUUUUAUGGUAUAAGUCUCUAAAAGUCUAAAUUGGACCAAAAUUAAAAUGACACAAACUUAAAAAAAAAUAAAAUUCCUCUCAUUGCCACUUUUUUCAAUCUCUAAAAGUUAGUUGCCCCCAAAAGAAUAUUGGUUUAAUAAUCAUCAUAUUUAAGAAAUGCACUGAUAAAAACAUAUUUUCCAAUUUUAAAUACACCUAUUUAAAAUGUAAAUACACUUAUUUAAAAUUCAAGUAAAUAUGUAACUAUCAAAGUAAAUGUAUUCAAAACAGAAGUUGUGCUUCUGAA
rnacentral:lncRNA from 1 species